GACGAACGCUGGCGGCGUGCUUAACACAUGCAAGUCGAACGGAAAGGCCCUGCUUUUGUGGGGUGCUCGAGUGGCGAACGGGUGAGUAACACGUGAGUAACCUCCCCUUGUCUUUGGGAUAACUUCAGGAAACUCGGGCUCUUACCCGAUAGGAGCUCUUGCUGCAUGGUGGGGGUUGGAAAGAUUCGGCGGUUGGGUAUGGACUCGCGGGUUAUCAGCUUGUUGGUGGGGUCGUGGCUUACCAAGGCUUUGAGGGGUAGCCCGCCUGGGAGGGUGAGCGGCCUCAUGGGGACUGGGAGACGCCGCAGUAGGCAAUGGGACGGAGCGGUCGGAAAUGUUACGGAAUGAGCGGAAGGCUGUUGCAGAGACGCCGCGUGCGGAAUAACGGCAUAUUGGUGGUAAACCGCUGUCGACUGUAAGGAAGAGUACGUGACGGUAAUGAGUAAAAAAGCACCGGCUAACUACGUG
rnacentral:rRNA from 1 species